UACGGAGGGGGCUAGCGUUGUUCGGAAUUACUGGGCGUAAAGCGCACGUAGGCGGCUUUGUAAGUCAGAGGUGAAAGCCCGGAGCUUAACUCCGGAAUUGCCUUUGAGACUGCAUCGCUUGAAUCCAGGAGAGGUGAGUGGAAUUCCGAGUGUAGAGGUGAAAUUCGUAGAUAUUCGGAAGAACGCCAGUGGCGAAGGCGGCUCACUGGACUGGUAUUGACGCUGAGGUGCGAAAGCGUGGGGAGCAAACAGG
rnacentral:rRNA from 1 species